GACGAACGCUGGCGGCGGGCUUAACACAUGCAAGUCGAACGGAAAGGCCCUGCUUUUGUGGGGUGCUCGAGUGGCGAACGGGUGAGUAACACGUGAGUAACCUGCCCUUGACUUUGGGAUAACUUCAGGAAACUGGGGCUAAUACCGGAUAGGAGCUCCUGCUGCAUGGUGGGGGUUGGAAAGUUUCGGCGGUUGGGGAUGGACGCGCGGCUUAUCAGCUUGUUGGUGGGGUAGUGGCUUACCAAGGCUUUGACGGGUAGCCGGCCUGAGAGGGUGACCGGCCACAUUGGGACUGAGAUACGGCGCAGAGUCCUAUGGGAGGCAGCAGUGGGGAAUAUUGCACAAUGGGGGGACGCCUGAUGCAGCAACGCCGCGUGCGGGAUGACGGCCUUCGGGUUGUAAACCGCUUUCGCCUGUGACGAAGCGUGAGUGACGGUAAUGGGUAAAGAAGCACCGGCUAACUACGUG
rnacentral:rRNA from 1 species